AGCUCCAAUAGCGUAUAUUAAAGUUGUUGCGGUUAAAAAGCUCGUAGUUGGAUCUGCGGUCACAGACUCCGGUCGCCCACUGGGUUGUACUGGCUGUCUUGACCUACCUUACUGGUUUUCCCUUGGUGCUCUUCACUGAGUGCCCUGGGUGACUAGUACGUUUACUUUGAAAAAAUUAGAGUGCUCAAAGCAGGCUUUUGCCUGAAUAGUGGUGCAUGGAAUAAUGGAAUAGGACCUCGGUUCUAUUUUGUUGGUUUUCGGAGCGCGAGGUAAUGAUUAAGAGGGACAGACGGGGGCAUUUGUACUGCCGCGUUAGAGGUGAAAUUCUUGGAUCGCGGCAUGACAAACAACUGCGAAAGCAUUUGCCAAGAAUGUUUUCA
rnacentral:rRNA from 1 species